GUGGCAGCAGCCGCGGUAAUACGGAGGGUGCAAGCGUUAAUCGGAAUUACUGGGCGUAAAGCGCGCGUAGGUGGCUUGAUAAGCCGGUUGUGAAAGCCCCGGGCUCAACCUGGGAACGGCAUCCGGAACUGUCAGGCUAGAGUGCAGGAGAGGAAGGUAGAAUUCCCGGUGUAGCGGUGAAAUGCGUAGAGAUCGGGAGGAAUACCAGUGGCGAAGGCGGCCUUCUGGACUGACACUGACACUGAGGUGCGAAAGCGUGGGUAGCAAACAGGAUUAGAUACCCUGGUAGUCCACGCCGUAAACGAUGUCGACCAGCCGUUGGGUGCCUAGAGCACUUUGUGGCGAAGUUAACGCGAUAAGUCGACCGCCUGGGGAGUACGGCCGCAAGGUUAAAACUCAAAUGAAUUGACGGGGGCCCGCACAAGCGGUGGAGCAUGUGGUUUAAUUCGAUGCAACGCGAAGAACCUUACCUACCCUUGACAUCUACAGAAGCCGGAAGAGAUUCUGGUGUGCCUUCGGGAACUGUAAGACAGGUGCUGCAUGGCUGUCGUCAGCUCGUGUUGUGAAAUGUUGGGUUAAGUCCCGUAACGAGCGCAACCCUUGUCCUUAUUUGCCAGCGAGUAAUGUCGGGAACUCUAAGGAGACUGCCGGUGACAANCCGGAGGAAGGUGGGGACGACGUCAAGUCAUCAUGGCCCUUACGGGUAGGGCUACACACGUGCUACAAUGGCCGGUACAAAGGGCUGCGAGCUCGCGAGAGUCAGCGAAUCCCUUAAAGCCGGUCUCAGUCCGGAUCGGAGUCUGCAACUCGACUCCGUGAAGUCGGAAUCGCUAGUAAUCGUGAAUCAGAAUGUCACGGUGAAUACGUUCCCGGGCCUUGUACACACCGCCCGUC
rnacentral:rRNA from 1 species